UAUUUCCAGGGCUCUGUCCUCAUUUACGGUAACGUGAACAUUGUGAACGGUGAACACAGCAUGUAUCCCCGAACGUCCGACUCGGAGCGCUUUAAGCUGCAAGAUCUCGUCAUCAGCAAAGAUGUGGAUUUGAUUACAAAGUCUCGAAAGAGGCCAGAAUGGAAAAGUCGUAUAAAUGUUUCAGAAACAAUGGACAAGCAUAUUUGCAAGUGUUAACGAAUCCCGUAAGCACAAAAGUGAGAAUGUACAGUGGGUCAGUACAUGGCUUUGAAGGAUCACCUUGUUUGGGGACAGCCAUGCUGGCCCAUGCAUUACUGUUGUUGUUGUUUGGAUGGCGUGACCGCCAUCCGACUUUGAAGGUUCAUAUCAAUCAUAUGUUCGGUUCGGUGCAUGUUAUGAAGACAAAAAUACCACCAUUCGAUUCAGUAAAAAAAUAUCUCCUAAUUCCUAACGAUGGUUUUAGUCGAUAUCAACAUUGUAGCGAUUUAUGGCCUUUGAAAGUCAAGUGAGAUCGUAUAAGGCCACUACAAGUUAAUCUUUAGUUUCUGGUCCGCCGCCCGCGUUCUUUCUCCGUAAAGUACUAUUUCAGGACUAUUUUGUUAUUUACAAUUAAUUUCUAGUUCUUGAAAAUUUCCGCGAAGGAUUUAACGUAUAGAACGAUAAAUAUUCAAUUUACACUAAAAAGACCUAGCAAAAUGUAGUAUUGAAUGGUAAAAACCGCUGCCUUAACGAUGUUACGAGGUAAAAAAACUAGAAAUAUUAAUAGAUCAUUUUGAUAUGUAAAAUCCUUUGUAAUCUGUCAUGCAUGUCGAUUUAUAAAUAAUAUAAAUGCAAUUUAUGUAAAAUUUCAUAACAUUUUGAUACAAUUAGCAUGAAAAGGGACAAGAAGGACCACAAAAAUGUGGGCAAAGCCACAAUUGUAAUUAUGUCCUAUAGUCCUAACCACCCGCCCGCCCGCGUCGUAAACGGAGAUAAGGCCGGACCAGAAACUAAAGAUUAACUUGUAGUGGCCUAAUAUCAAAUUGCUAUUGUAUUUACAUUUCAGUUCCGCCUCUGAUCAGCGCUGAGCUAAUUCCAUCCAGAAAUACAAUUUUAAAAUUUUAACAAUGAGAUACAUGUAUCUAAAGAUGUUAGAUGCGAAACCAG